GAUGAACGCUGGCGGCGUGCCUAAUACAUGCAAGUCGAGCGAACAGACGAGGAGCUUGCUCCUCUGACGUUAGCGGCGGACGGGUGAGUAACACGUGGAUAACCUACCUAUAAGACUGGGAUAACUUCGGGAAACCGGAGCUAAUACCGGAUAAUAUAUUGAACCGCAUGGUUCAAUAGUGAAAGACGGUUUUGCUGUCACUUAUAGAUGGAUCCGGGCGGCAUUAGCUAGUUGGUAAGGUAACGGCUUACCACGGCAACGAUGCGUAGCCGACCUGAGAGGGUGAUCGGCCGCCCUGGAGCGGGGACACGGUCCAGACGCCUGCGGGAGGCAGCAGUAGGGAAUCUUCCGCAAUGGGCGAAAGCCUGACGGAGCAGCGCGGCGUGAGUGAUGAAGGUCUUCGGAUCGUAAAACUCUGUUAUUAGGGAAGAACAAAUGUGUAAGUAACUAUGCACUUCUUGACGGUACCUAAUCAGAAAGCCACGGCUAACUACGUG
rnacentral:rRNA from 1 species